rnacentral:rRNA from 1 species
AUGAAAACGAAGCAUCAAUCAUGGGUGGUCCAUGGUUACAUAAGCCUUCAGGAAAACCAAGACAUUGUUGAGCUCCUCCAUGCUAAGCACAAAGGUACUUUACCAAUGGAGAUUUCGCUCACGCAUGCCUUCCUUGUAGCUUCUCUUCUCCUCCUCUUGUAUUUCCUUUCCUCUCCUCGCAAGGACCUUAAUGGACAUGGCCAUCUCAAGAGUAUCCCAAGCCCGCCCGCCCUCCCCGUCAUCGGCCACCUCCACCUCCUCAAGAAGCCGCUGCACCGCUCCCUCUCCGCGCUCGCUGCCCGCUACGGCGGUGGCCGCGACGGCGUCGGUCUCCUGAGCCUUCGGUUCGGCGCCCGGCCGGUCCUCCUCGUCUCCUCCGCGGCCAUCGCCGAGGAGUGCUUCACCGUCCACGACGUCGCGCUGGCGGAUCGCCCCGGGCUCGCGUCACGGCGGCUCCUCACGGACGAGUGCCCCAGCAUCGCCUUGUCUAACUACGGCCCUCUCUGGCGCAACCUCCGCCUCAUCGUCACCGUGCACGCGCUCUCCGCGCACCGCCUCUCACUGACGUCUGCCGUGCGUGCGACCGAGGUACGCGCCAUGGUAAAGCGGCUCUACGGGCGCGCCGGCGCCACGCCGGUUAGCGUGAGGGAGACGGCUUACGAGUUCGUGGUCAACGUGAUCAUGGCCAUGGUCUCCGGGAGGCGCAUGGCGGAGGAGGACGUGCGCUGGUUCAUGGCGUUGACGGAGGCUGGCUUAGCGGCGGCCGGAUCGGCCAACCGCCAGGACUUCCUGCCGGUGCUGCGGUUGCUGGAUUUCGGGAGGACGAGGAGAAGUCUUGCCGGCAUCGCCAAGGAGCGCCGUGACUUCGGCCAGCGGCUCAUCGACGAGUACAGGCGCCUCAACCCCCGUGGCGAUGAGACGUCGUCGGCGCCCAGGACGUUGCUCGGCGACGUGCUCCGGCAGCAGGAGCGGUCGCCGGAGUCGUACCCCGACGUGGUCAUCCGCACCCUCUGCAUGAGCAUGCUACAAGCAGGAGCGGACACAUCAUCUAGCGCGAUCGAGUGGGCGAUGGCACUUCUGCUCAAUAACCCAGACGUGUUGGCCAAGGCGAAGGCUGAGAUCGACGCCGUCGUGGGCACGUCUCGCCUGAUCCAGGAGUGUGACCUGGAAGUGCUUCCUUACCUCCGAUGCAUCAUCACCGAGACCCUCCGGCUAUACCCUCUCGCACCCAACCUCGUACCACAUGAGGCGUCGCGCGACUGCACCAUCACUAGUGGGCAAUACAUCAUUGCACGUGGAACCAUGGUCUUAGUCGACGUGUACUCCAUACAACGGGACCCUGCGUCGUGGGAUGAUCCAGACAUGUUCAUGCCAGAGAGAUUCGUGGGUGGCAAUGUUUGUGGACAAGGUGGAAAGCGAAUGAUGAUGCCGUUUGGGAUGGGCCGGCGAAAGUGCCCCGGCGAGGGACUCGCUUGGAGGACGGUGGGAGUAGCAUUGGCGGGGAUGUUGCAAUGCUUCGAGUGGGGACGGGUGGGAGAGAAGGUGGUGGACAUGAGCGAGGGUUCUGGGCUCACCAUGCACAUGUAUGUGCCGCUAGUUGCAGUGUGUCGACCUCGUCAAGAUAUGGAUGUCAUGCUCAAGAGCCUUUAG